UACGGGGGGAGCAAGCGUUGUUCGGAUUUACUGGGCGGAAAGGGCGCGUAGGCGGCCACCGCAAGUCGACUGUGAAAUCUCCGGGCUUAACCCGGAAAGGUCAGCCGAUACUGCGGGGCUAGAGUGCAGAAGGGGCAACUGGAAUUCUCGGUGUAGCGGUGAAAUGCGUAGAUAUCGAGAGGAACACCUGCGGCGAAGGCGGGUUGCUGGGCUGACACUGACGCUGAUGCGCGAAAGCUAGGGGAGCGAACAGG
rnacentral:rRNA from 1 species